rnacentral:rRNA from 2 species
AGCCUGAUGCAGCCAUGCCGCGUGUGUGAAGAAGGCCUUCGGGUUGUAAAGCACUUUCAGCGAGGAGGAAAGGUUAGUGGUUAAUACCCGCUAGCUGUGACGUUACUCGCAGAAGAAGCACCGGCUAACUCCGUGCCAGCAGCCGCGGUAAUACGGAGGGUGCGAGCGUUAAUCGGAAUUACUGGGCGUAAAGCGCAUGCAGGCGGCCAAGUCAGUCAGAUGUGAAAGCCCCGGGCUUAACCUGGGAAUUGCAUUUGAUACUGCUUGGCUAGAGUCCUUGAGAGGGGGGUAGAAUUUCAGGUGUAGCGGUGAAAUGCGUAGAGAUCUGAAGGAAUACCAGUGGCGAAGGCGGCCCCCUGGCAAGAGACUGACGCUCAGAUGCGAAAGCGUGGGGAGCAAACAGGAUUAGAUACCCUGGUAGUCCACGCCGUAAACGAUGUCUAUUAGGAGUGUGUGACCUUGAGGCGUGGGUUCCAAAGCUAACGCAUUAAAUAGACCGCCUGG